CCUACGGGUGGCAGCAGUGAGGAAUAUUGGUCAAUGGACGAGAGUCUGAACCAGCCAAGUAGCGUGAAGGAUGACUGCCCUAUGGGUUGUAAACUUCUUUUAUAUGGGAAUAAAAUGUUCCACGUGUGGGAUUUUGUAUGUACCAUAUGAAUAAGGAUCGGCUAACGCCGUGCCAGCAGCCGCGGUAAUAAGGAGGAUCCGAGCGUUAUCCGGAUUUAUUGGGUUUAAAGGGAGCGUAGGUGGGUUGUUAAGGUAGGUGGGAAAGUUUGCGGCUCAACCGUAAAAUUGCAGUUGAAACUGGCAGUCUUGAGUACAGUAGAGGUGGGCGGAAUUCGUGGUGUAGCGGUGAAAUGCUUAGAUAUCACGAAGAACUCCGAUUGCGAAGGCAGCUCACUGGACUGCAACUGACACUGAGGCUCGAAAGUGUGGGUAUCAAACAGGAUUAGAUACCCCUGUAGUC
rnacentral:rRNA from 1 species